UACGGAGGAUGCAAGCGUUAUCCGGAAUGAUUGGGCGUAAAGGGUCCGCAGGUGGCAAUGUAAGUCUGCUGUCAAAGAAUGAGGCUUAACCUCAUCAAGGCAGUGGAAACUACAUAGCUAGAGUACGGUCGGGGUAGAAGGAAUUCCUGGUGUAGCGGUGAAAUGCGUAGAUAUCUGGAGGAACACCGGUGGCGAAGGCGGCAUCCUGGACCAACACUGACACUGAGGAGCGAAAGCCAGGGGAGCAAACGGG
rnacentral:rRNA from 1 species